UACGUAGGGGGCAAGCGUUGUCCGGAAUCAUUGGGCGUAAAGCGCGCGUAGGCGGUCCGGUAAGUCCGCUGUGAAAGUCGGGGGCUCAACCCUCGAAUGCCGGUGGAUACUGUCGGGCUAGAGUGCGGAAGAGGCGAGUGGAAUUCCUGGUGUAGCGGUGAAAUGCGCAGAUAUCAGGAGGAACACCAAUUGCGAAGGCAGCUCGCUGGGACGUAACUGACGCUGAGACGCGAAAGCGUGGGGAGCAAACAGG
rnacentral:rRNA from 1 species